AACAGCUGCUUUCGGUGAACGCGCGGGCAGCAGAUUUGCACAGCGCAGGGCUGUGUGAACGCGCAGGGGCAGCAGAUUCGCAUGAUCUCCUCUGCCAUGGCAUGCUUUUUGCUACGAAACUGCAGCCAUCUCGUCACUCAUUGGAGAAGGAUGAGAAGCUGCCCCCCAGCCAGAGGGACACAUCUGCCACCAAAUCCGUCGCUCACUGGAUUCUGUCAUCUCCGUCUCUGUGUCUCCCACAAUCCGUGUGUCUGUCUGCUGUAUAUGUGGACCGUCUGCUGCACUGCGUCUGUUCUGCCAUUUACUCUAACCUGUUUUUUUUUGUGUGUCCCAACUCUGACCAGCAUGUUCUCCUAUGGAACACGAAGUACCUGAAGUGGAUUGAAGAAGCCCAUGUUUGAGGCCCGCGCCCCCGGCUGGAGCAGUGAAGGGGCAUCUGACAGUCUUCCUCCUCCGUCGCAGGACACAGCGUUAGCCUCAGUCGAUCCAACAAAGAAAAAGGUAAGAUUGUUAGCUUGAAUAGUUACCUGUUGAAGACUGAAAGUGCACGUAAGGUAGUCUAAACUCUACCGUUUUGUUCUUAGACAAGUAUCUUACAUGGAGCUCUUCCUUAGUCUUCCUCCUCCUCCGUCGCAGGACACA